rnacentral:RNase_P_RNA from 8 species
GGUAGCAGUUGUGGGAGGAUUGCGAAAGCAAAGGAAAUUCUGCCCAUCCAUUAAUCAGAAAAAGCCAGAGAUGGUUUCAUUAUGGUACAGAGACGAGACAAUUUAGUGUAAAUGAGAAUGAGGGUUUCAGAUGAAAUACCGACGAUACAUUAAAUUUUGUGAAACGAACAUAAUGCUGAGGGUGCAAGGCAAAUUUGCCGCUCAGACAAAUUCCCAAAAAACAGAAGGCAGAUUACAACUGCUGCC